rnacentral:rRNA from 1 species
AACGAACGCUGGCGGCAGGCCUAACACAUGCAAGUCGAGCGCCCCGCAAGGGGAGCGGCGGACGGGUGAGUAACGCGUGGGAACGUGCCCUCUUCUACGGAAUAGCCUCGGGAAACUGGGAGUAAUACCGUAUACGCCCUUAGGGGGAAAGAUUUAUCGGAGGAGGAUCGGCCCGCGUUGGAUUAGGUAGUUGGUGGGGUAAUGGCCUACCAAGCCGACGAUCCAUAGCUGGUUUGAGAGGAUGAUCAGCCACACUGGGACUGAGACACGGCCCAGACUCCUACGGGAGGCAGCAGUGGGGAAUCUUAGACAAUGGGCGCAAGCCUGAUCUAGCCAUGCCGCGUGAGCGAUGAAGGCCUUAGGGUUGUAAAGCUCUUUCAGGGGGGAAGAUAAUGACUGUACCCCCAGAAGAAGCCCCGGCUAACUCCGUGCCAGCAGCCGCGGUAAUGUCUGUACU